rnacentral:lncRNA from 1 species
UGACAUACAAUCACAUUUAUCAAUAUACAGCAAGUAGGUAAUUUGUGUUGAAUGCCAGUAGGUCAGAAUUUGUUAAUUGAAUUUUACCUGUAAAAGGGUCACUGACUAGCUGUCAAAUUCAUGUUCAUCGAUUUUAAUCAAAUUCACAUAACGUGUGGUGUUGAAUUGUUUAUUAAAAUUCCACGCACAAUCUUGGCUGAUAUGCAUAAAACCAUUAUUUCAUGAACCUGCAUGAAAUAUUGACUUAUCACAGAACUAAAAAAAUAAACCACCGAAAGUCCACAUAAGAGGGUAUGGUGGAUGUGAAUUAACAGAAUAGAGAAUAACGGGCAAAGAAAAAAAGGAAUAAAGAAUAGUGAAAGAAAAGAGAAUAAUGGUAAAAACGUGUAAGUCAUUAAAAAUAUAGCUUAAAAAAAAAGAAGCCUCUGUCAUCAAUUUGAGGAAUUUACCCAAGGUUAAUUUUACGGCGGC